GACGAACGCUGGCGGCGUGCCUAAUACAUGCAAGUCGAACGCUGAAGGAGGAGCUUGCUUCGCUGGAUGAGUUGCGAACGGGUGAGUAACGCGUAGGUAACCUGCCUGGUAGUGGGGGAUAACUAUUGGAAACGGUAGCUAAUACCGCAUAAGAGUAGAUGUUGCAUGAGAUUUGCUUAGAAGGUUCAAUUUUUUCGGUGUCGGAUGGGCCUGCGGUGUAUCAGCUUGUUGGUGGGGUAAUGGCCUGCCAAGGCGACGACGGGUAGCCGGCCUGAGAGGGUGGACGGCCACAUUGGGACUGAGACACGGCCCAGACUCCUACGGGAGGCAGCAGUGGGGAAUAUUGCACAAUGGGCGGAAGCCUGAUGCAGCGACGCCGCGUGGGGGAUGACGGCCUUCGGGUUGUAACCUCCUUUCACCAUCGACGAAGGGUUUCUGACGGUAGAUGGAGAAGAAGCACCGGCUAACUACGUG
rnacentral:rRNA from 1 species